ACCAGUGCUGAUUCCUCUUUGCUGCCACUAAGGAGGAAAAUUGAGGAGCUGGCACUUGGAGUAAAACAAAGAAACAAAUCGUCUCUAUAGACAGAAUGACUCAGCACGUAACAUCCUGCGACGUAAAAUUUGGGAUGAAAAGAAAAGUUUGGCAGUCGCAGUGGGAAAAUAUGAUGCCCUUGUCCAGCCAUCAGAACAGCUUUGCUCAGCAGAAGCCAUUCUAAAGGGUGAUUCUGUUUUGCCGUGGGACCUGCCUUCCUCCGAUGGAGUAGACUUCCUGACAAAGAAAAAGCUGUUUGAUAAGGUCAUGCUCAUUCGGAGACUUGCGGAGGAAGAGAUGAUCCUUGUGCAAGAGUCGAAACAACACUGGCAUAAUCUCAAGAAAAGAGAGGAUGGCUUGAAAACCUUACUAGCCAACGUAAAUGCUGAUGGUAAGAACAAUACAUUACCGCUGUCAUUUGAA